GGCUUGGUAGCUUAGUUGGUAAAGCAAUUGUCUAGCAUACAAGAGUCGUGGGUUCGAAUCUCACCUGAACAC
rnacentral:tRNA from 1 species